AGCCGCGGGCAUCUCUCUGGGUGACAGCAGGUGAAGGGCUCCCCUGUGGAGCGUUGCCCAGCAGAGGGGUACACGCCUGGCUCCUCUGAGCUGCCUGGACCCGCUGUGUCCUGGGUGCUGCCCUGCGAGGUGGCCUCCCCUGCCCGCCAGCCUCUGCUCUGAAUUGAGACUUCCCAGGUCUGGUGGCACAUCUGCCUUGUUUGGAAACCAGAGCCCAGUGCCUGUCUUCAUCUGGGAGAACAGAGAGGGGAGGGGAGCGGUGCUGCUGCCUCUCGGCCUUCCAGAGGCCCCGGCAGCAAAGGGAAGAUGGGGUCCCUGGGACGCAGCGCGGCCAGGCGUCCCCCCGCCCUGUGUGCAGGUGCAGCGAUGCCACAUCCCGGUCCCCGUGGUCCUGCCCUUGCCGUGCUGGCCUGAGCCCUGGUCUGUGGCUGCCCAUUGCUGGUGGGGGCUGUUCUCUGGAACUCUGCGGUACGGUUACCCUAACUCCCCGCACAUCAGCGAGCCUGGGGCUCUUUCCACACCCAGCAAGUAUAUUUUGACCACGUAAGACUCAGGUGGGCACCCCAAGGCGGAAAUGCAGUCUGUGUCCUCAAGGGACGCACGGUCUGUCUGUAAAGGGGGCGGAACAACCCAAGAACUUGCAGAGGGAGCACACGUGAUACUGCGGGGGUGUGAGCGGGUCUCUGCCAUGGCCACUGUGGGGGCGCAGGACAUCUGAGGAGCAAGCCAGGCCUGCGCAGGGCCGAGUGCAGGAGGCUGGUCAUCACGGAGGGGCCCCUUCCAUCGUGUGCCGAAUUUAGAUGCAGAGGCCAGUUGUGUGUGUGUCCUGGGAAGACGGCCCACUGCUUUCCCCGGAUUUUCAGUGAGAUGGAGGAACUGGGGAUUGAACCCAGGACCUGUUGCAUGCUAAGCAGGCGCUCUACCACUGAGCUCUACCCUCCCCACCUCGUGUUAUAUUUUAUUUAAAUACAGAUCACCUUAAAUUUA